rnacentral:rRNA from 1 species
UACGUAGGGUGCGAGCGUUAAUCGGAAUUACUGGGCGUAAAGCGUGCGCAGGCGGUUUUGUAAGACAGGCGUGAAAUCCCCGGGCUCAACCUGGGAAUUGCGCUUGUGACUGCAAGGCUGGAGUGCGGCAGAGGGGGAUGGAAUUCCGCGUGUAGCAGUGAAAUGCGUAGAUAUGCGGAGGAACACCGAUGGCGAAGGCAAUCCCCUGGGCCUGCACUAACGCUCAUGCACGAAAGCGUGGGGAGCAAACAGG